UACAGAGGGUGCGAGCGUUGUUCGGAAUUACUGGGCGUAAAGCGCGCGCAGGCGGCCUUUUAAGUCUGACGGUGAAAUGCCGGGGCUCAACCCCGUGCCCGCCGGAGAUACUGGGAGGCUGGAGACGAGUAGAGGCAAGCGGAAUUCCGGGUGUAGCGGUGGAAUGCGUAGAGAUCCGGAAGAACACCGGAGGCGAAGGCGGCUUGCUGGGCUCGGUCUGACGCUGAGGCGCGAAAGCGUGGGUAGCAAACGGG
rnacentral:rRNA from 1 species